rnacentral:sRNA from 1 species
UUAAGGAAGUAAAAGUCGUAACAAGGUUUCCGUAGGUGAACCUGCGGAAGGAUCAUGAUUGUGCAACAGAGGCACGAAGGUUGUUGCUGACCUUUUCAAAGGUCGUGCACGCCCGAGUGCUCUCAAUCCAUCUCACCCCUUUGUGCAUCACCGCGUGGGCCUCUUUGGGCUUGUUCCAAACUGUGCUCACGUUUUUUUAAUACAAACACCCAAUAGUAAUGCAGUGUAGAAUGUUCUUCUUUGCGAUUUACGCAAUCUAAUACAACUUUCAACAACGGAUCUCUUGGCUCUCGCAUCGAUGAAGAACGCAGCGAAAUGCGAUACGUAAUGUGAAUUGCAGAAUUCAGUGAAUCAUCGAAUCUUUGAACGCACCUUGCACCCCUUGGCAUUCCGAGGGGCACACCCGUUUGAGUGUCGUGACAUCCUCAACCUUCUUCGGUUUGUUUUUCGAUCGGGAAGGCUUGGAAUCUGGAGGUUUUUUUUUUUUGCUGGCCUCUUUUGAAGCCAGCUCCUCUUAAACGAAUUAGUAGGGUUGACAUUAGUUCUAUCCUAGACGUGAUAAAGAUGCUUUUACGUCUUGAGGUCUUGCUCUGUCCCCCGCUUCUAACUGUCUCGCAAGGGACACCGUUCGGGCCGACGCCUUUCAUAGGUGGAAAGCCCGACCCACGAAACCUUGACCUCAAAUCGGGUGAGACUACCCGCUGAACUUAAGCAUAUCAAUAAGCGGAGGAAAAGAAACUAACAAGGAUUCCCCUAGUAACUGCGAGUGAAGCGGGAAAAGCUCAAAUUUAAAAUCUGGGGUCUUUGGCCAUCCGAGUUGUAAUUAGAGAAGCGUCUUCCGCGCUGGACCGUAAAA